rnacentral:lncRNA from 1 species
GGGAGCGUCUCCAUCUUCUGUCUCGGUGCAGCUUGUGGAGUGCGGGGCAGCGGGCAGGAGCAAGGUGCCUGUGGCUGAGUUGGAACCGGGCUGAUCCAGGAACCAGAGCGGACCAAGUAAGUCAGGAACCAGAGCUGACCAAGUAAGUCGCUGUGACUCUGAGCAGCCAGACGGAGUGGCCUAGAUGACCUGGCAUAGAUGAAGUACAUAAAUGGAGUGAUAUAGAUCAAACGGCAUAGAUCAAGUAGCAUAGAUGGCCUUCCAUUUCAGGAACAAAUCGUAACAUAAAGAGUUAAUGAAACCUUUUCUAUGGACUUUUGUUAGGGAAAACCUCUGGGUUCAUUCCAAAGGGAUAGCUGAUUUUCCACUGUUCUUCCUUUGUUCCCCCUCACAAGAACAUCAUGGCUUUUCUAGAGAUAAAAACCAUUGAAAGG